rnacentral:lncRNA from 1 species
CUUCACUCUCUCUCCUUCCCCCCUCCCUUUCUGCACAUCUUGCAUCUCAGAAGCCCCCUCCCGGAAACUAGAUACAACUCCAGGGGAAGGUGAGGUUGAAAUCCACAAGUUCACUGAGAUAAAGUUUCUGACAAUGCAAAGAAAGGGAGGCUUGAAAUCAAAAUUAGUUUCUAUUUCUUACAUAAAUGUCUGGACUAGAAUUGUGUCCACUGCUCAGAUCUUACUUAUAUUCAGGGAUGACGUAUCUCAUGGAAGAACAGGGCUCAACGAGCCACUUAAAUGUCUUCCUAUCAAAUGUUAAGGUUCUAGAAACCAAAUGGUGGGUAUAUUAUCCAACAUAUGCCGUGAAAGCAGAGCCAAUCCUGGGGGAAAGCUUCUCUCCUAAUGGUAAGGUGUCCAUAUCCUCUGCCCCAAGAACCAAGACAAGUGAUCUGACAAGUGUGAAGACUGCUUUUCAACAUGAAAAAGAGUUUUCUUAAACUCAAGCAUGAUAUUGGCUCUACUUUGAAUAUCAGUUACGAAAAUUCAUAACGAGCUGAGGUAUCUUCACUAACAUUGCAAAUUAAUUUCUUGUAUUCAUCACAAUGACAUUUAUGUGUAUUUGAAAAGUAAUCCAUAUGGAUGAGCAUAUUUUUCAUUCACUCUACAGACGGAACAUGCACGCUGGUUUGCAGAUCCCUUGCAGUGACUCUACAGCUCCCAGGAAUCUGAGGUUCACAAGGUGAAACCUACCAGGCCAAACAAUUUAAAAUUGGUUUUGUUUUGAAAAUCCAAAUGCUACACUUCGCUCAUCAAUGGAGCUCAAGAUGUAAAAGUCUGGUUUAAGAGACAUUGAAUCUAUUCUGCCUUUUAUUAUCCCUUUCUUAUAAGUUGACUUUUAAGAAAUCAAUGACUGUGUGGAGAGUUCUAACUGGGUACGUAAUAAAAUAACCAACUGUGGGGGUGGGCAGGGGGCCCUAUCGCACCAGGAAGCUUGUUUAUUGGUUGCAUUAGACCACUAAAGUGGAAGCACUGAGAUAUUCUGGAAAGAACACAGCUUGGGGGCCAACAGAUCUGGGUUCAGAGCCUUACUGCAUCACCUACAAGUUGUGUCUCUUUAGAAAAUUUACUUAA